UACGAACCGUGCGAACGUUGUUCGGAAUCACUGGGCUUAAAGGGCGCGUAGGCGGGCUGACAAGUCUGGGGUGAAAUACCACGGCUCAACCGUGGAACUGCCUCAGAUACUGUCGGCCUCGAGGGAGGUAGGGGCGUGCGGAACUGUAGGUGGAGCGGUGAAAUGCGUUGAUAUCGACAGGAACUCCGGUGGCGAAAGCGGCGCGCUGGACCGCUUCUGACGCUGAGGCGCGAAAGCUAGGGGAGCAAACGGG
rnacentral:rRNA from 1 species